GACGUAGGAGGCGAGCGUUAUCCGGAUUCACUGGGCGUAAAGCGCAUGUAGGCGGUUGGAUAAGUCUGUUGUUAAAGCCCCCGGCUCAACUGGGGGAGGUCAAUGGAGACUGUCCGACUUGAGGGCAACAGAGGCACAUGGAACUCCCGGUGUAGCGGUGGAAUGCGUAGAGAUCGGGAAGAACACCCGGGGCGAAGGCGGCUACCUGGCCUGUUUCUUGACGCUGAGGCGCGAAAGCUAGGGGAGCAAACGGG
rnacentral:rRNA from 1 species